UGAGGUUUUCUGUGCAGCUUGCUGUUUACGGGUCUUGGGCUAGCGUUUUCGUCAAAGAGCCCGAGAGCUAGGCAGCCAAGGGGAAGACCCCAACCUUCAAAGAAGAGCUGGGAGGCACAAAACUGAGCUGCUUGUCUUUCCAUCAUCUAGUCAAUAAGUGUACUUUUAUUGAGCAUCUACGAGUGACAGACGUUGUCCUGGGGCGUAGAACACAGCAGUGACAAUAGACGGUAGAAGAUCCUUGAUGCUCCUGAAAGAUACAGACCAGAAGACAAUUUAAAACCCUCAAAUAGAGAUUGGGCUCAAACACCUGAAAGCGAUCGUCCUGCCUCAUCCUCUUGAGUAGCUGACCCUACAAUACUGGGCAUCGAACUCAGGACCUUGUGUGGUGCCACUGAGCUAAAUCCCCAGCCCUAAAAACUGUAAUAUUAAAG
rnacentral:lncRNA from 1 species